rnacentral:misc_RNA from 1 species
GGUGGUUCACUGGAUGGUGAAUCUGCUUUACCUCCAUCCAAACGGCUUCAUCGUGCCUUGGAGGCUAUGUCAGCUUAUGCUGCAGAUGAUGACAAACAAGAUGUGGAUGGGCUUUGUAAAAUGAAGACAUCUAUCAACGGGUAUUGCUCAAGCUCCAAGGAGGUUUGCUCUGAACUGUCUGGAGGUAUUAAAGUUGAGAAAAACUCUGAUGCGGAUAGAAUGAGAAGUCCAGCUAAUUCUGUGCAGGAAGAUGCUGCUAUUGUGGCCAGUGCUAAAGCGUUAGUAGCUCAGGAAGGCUUGCAACAUUUAUCAGAUGUGCCAGCUCUUACUACACCUUUAGCUUGUGAUGAUAGCUCAGCAAAGGUGUCCUAUGAAGAUAAAUGUGAUGUUUCCGAUGCUGUUAUUCAGACCCCUCAAAAAGUAGAGUCUUCAAAUGACUGCCCUUCUAGCACUUUUGUUGCACAUUCUGCUAAUGCCGAGUCUGAUGAUGGUGAGUUGCAGGGUACCUUCAAAUGUAAAUGUCCCUCACCAGAGCUAAUCAUGACAUCUGAUGAAAAUUGUGAAAACGAAGCUGCAGAGUCCGCAAAACAUUUUGAAGAUCCAAUUUCUGAAGUUUCUGGGAGAUCUGCUGACUGUGGAUCUAAUGAUGAGAUAGUUAUGAGUUCACCAGAAAAAAGUGAUAUGAUGAGGUUGGCUAGUGCAGAGGCUGAAUGUGGUAAAAAUAACAACCUGUGCCAGGUGUCAUUAGAUGUGAGCAUUCAAGACAAAGACAAGUCACUUAAAUUGAAAGAAGCUGGAUUAGAAUCAAAGAAUAUAAGUGUGACUUCAUCUUCAAGCCCUGAAAAAGUUGUGGAUGCGUCACUCAAGGAGUUGCAUGUGUCUGGUUUGA